UGGCCCCCCACCUCUGUCUUCCAGUGGCCUCGAUGGGCCCCCAGCACCGCCUCCACCCUCAGACACCUCCGCCUCCAAGCCCAAGUCGUCCUUGCCCGCGGUUAGCGAUGCCAGGAGCGAUUUGCUUUCAGCCAUUCGUCAAGGCUUCCAGCUCCGCAAGGUGGAAGAGCAGCGGGAGCAGGAGAAGAGGGACGUUGUGGGCAACGACGUGGCAACCAUCCUGUCGCGCCGCAUCGCCGUGGAGUACAGCGACUCUGAGGAUGACUCUUCAGAGUUCGAUGAGGACGAGUGGUCGGAUUAACCACGGCCCCAUCCCCUCUGCUCCCUUCCCUCCUGGGUUAACGGCUUCUUAAAGAACCAGGUGGCCAAACCUUCCACCGUUUCCUUUUCGUCCUGUAACCAAAGAUGUGCCAAGGGUUUUCAGACAACCACCAGCAUAUCUCCCCUCUCCCUCCCCCCCGGGCUUUGGCAGGACUUUGUGCUCUGCCUUUCCAAUAGGUCUCCUCGCAGGCAGUGAGGAUGGAGGCGUUGGGAUUUGGCUGGAGGGAGUGGAACGGUUGCUUAUUUAAGAGAACUAAACCUCCAGAUUCUCGAUGCCACCAGGCAGAGCCCACAAAACCCCUCCGUCCUGAGGGAUUUUUAAAGCAAAGAUGGAUGAUCCUGUUGUGGCCGCGCGGCCUUUCAGAUGAAGGACAUUUUCAGCUAGUUUCCUCAUUGCAACAGCAGGCAGUUGAUCUAGUGGCUCUUCCUUUCCAGUGAAUACUGGUAGUGCUGCAAGAAAACGGGCUUUAAAUGUCUGUUUUCUGCUGCAUCCCACUGUCACAUAAUCAGUUUUCGGCAGUAGUGCACAAUUCUUUCCCCUCUGACCCUCCUCGGUAUUUCCAGACUUACCCCCGCUGUGGGGGCACUCCUGGCUGUAGGGUGCAGAGUGCAUCGGGUGCAAUGUGAGGAGAGGUGUGUUCUUCUUUAAAGCUGCCUUUACCUUCCUCAAAAACCUGCAGGACUGCUUUGCCACGAGGGAGCCUUGCACGAAGCUGCAGCAGGAUGGCUGCUUGGCUUCCUGCUGCAGGGAGAGCAGAGCUGAUGGCUCCGCUUCGUGCUGGGAGCGUGCUUAAAAAACAAAGCAAAACCCAGAAGUGCCUACGGCAGGGAAGCAGUGGGGAGGGCUGCUCUGAGCACCAGCCCCCAUUUGACCAGUUGGAACAGCUGCUUCUCUACUGCAGUGACCGCAUUUUUGCAGAGAGCGUUGCUGCAGGAAUCGCUGGUGUUACUUUUGCUUCCUCCUCCCUUUCACUUCAGGAUUAGGGGGGUCGUGUGCCUAAAACCACCUCGUGUGUGUGAGCUGAGUUGCCCGUUGGUUCCGUCAGACCUAACCCAUCUUGUUCCCCGUGUUUUGUUACUAUAAUUGAUUAGUUAAUUUUUAAGAACAUUUCUUCUCCCAGCUAACCCUGCGGAUUCCUAGGCUGCUCACUACAGGCAGGGGAAGAAAAUGGAGAACUUGAACUAGCUGACCUAGGUGUUACUGCUGUUUUAUAUUACAUAGAAUAUAUGCAUAUCUUGGAAAUCUACAAGCAGAGAUCCCUGUGCUACAGAUGUGCUUUUUGUAUUUUAAUUUGAGCACAACUGUCUCAGAAGGCGAUUCCAAAGCCUUGUGGCUCAGGCUGUUUUGCCUGGGACCGUUAAGACCAAAUCUCCAACCUCUUUGCCUUUCUGAUUGUAAAGUGUUCUGCCAGCCUGUGCCUGUUGUUCCCCCUCCAGCUUGCCUUGUUUGUGGUGUUGCUGAUAGCUGGGAUGCCAGGCCCCUCCGGGGGCUGCUGGGUUGCUGAAAACCUUUCUUAGGGGUUUGAUUGAUGAUUUCAGUUUGUGCCAUCGAGUUCUUCCUGAUUUCUCGCGUGCGUCGGUGCAUUUUUAAGGUGUGCCAGAGCAGACGAGGGCCUGGAGGAGGGGCUUUGCUGGGGUGCGGGUCAGGCUGAGAUCCGGCCCAGCCCUGAGCACAAUCGGGGGAGAUUCACCAGGUUCUCCACCGUCGCAUUUCUCUGUGAUGUCUGUGAGUCGGCGGUGCGGAGCAGGACGCAGAGGAGAUAGCGAGGCAUCCCAGCAGGCUGGGAACAUCUGAGCAGCGCUCAUUGCAGGUUCUGGAGAGGGAAAGAAACCCCUCGAGUGCCAGCGAGCCGUGGUGCAGCGGAGGGACUUGGAAAUGCAAAGUGAUCGGUGCUGCACGCUGGGUGAGGGGGGCUGGAGGAGAAUCGCUGCCUCUGUUUUUCUGCUCCUUCUGUAAGCAUCCUCCUCUGGCUUCUCUUGGAGACGGGUUCCUGGGGAAAACAGACCUGUGAGCUAAGCCAGGCUGACAGCAUUAUCACACAGGGAAGCGCGGAGCUCACAAAUGCCAAACCUGGGUUAAUUUUAAAUUGCCUUAAGUAGAUUUGGCCCCCUGUUGGGAAAGGGGAGCGAGUAUUUCUGUCGUGUGAAAUCCAGAGAAAUGCCACGCUCCUUGCAGCCCAGCGUGUGGGGCAGGGCUGCGCCUCGGGGCGCUGGGGAUGCGGUCACCCCACGCCUGUGGCUCAGGGAUGCUGGGUGGGUGAGAGGUGCAGCUGCAGGUGGAGCUCAGUGCUGCUGUGCCUCCCCUGCUCCGCAGCCCUUCUGGCAGCAGGAGGGAUGCUGCUCUGCCUGCGCGAGCCUGCUUUUACCCACGGCUGCUUCCAGAUCCGGGCUGAGAGGCAGAACUGCAGGAUCCCGAGCGGAGGGAUUGCAGAUAUGACAAAACAAGGGGUGUGAGGUGCCCGUCUGUGAGCUGUGCUGCAGAAUUGCAGAGCGCCGGGCCUCGUAUUUCUGAACCCGGCAGGGGAGGAGGAGAGGUGCCAAAAACAACCUUUGCAAAGCAGAGCAUCUGUGCAGAGCUGCAGGGCCCAGGCCCCGUGCUUUCCUCCUGCCAUCUUUUGCUUCUUGUCGUGGCAGCACCGCGCCGGGCUGGGUGGAGCAGAGAGCCUGGAGCGUUCUGCACGGCCAGAAGCAGAGCCGGCAGCCCUGAGCUCCCCUCUCUGCCUGUCCCCGUGGGUCUCUGCACGGAGCUGGGGCAGCCGCUGCCCUCCUGCCCCGCUCAGACGUUUCUCCUGCUGCCUUUGCCCGCAGUGCUUGGCUGCUGCUGCUGGCAGCCGCUCCCCCAGCGCCCCUCCUUGGCGCACAGGGGUGCUGUGUCCCCAGUCCCUGGCCUCAGCCUGGAGCCUCGUCUGCAGCCGGUGACCUUCACCGCUUUUUCCUCUCCUUAUCAGACCCGGAUGGAGGGAAGGGGCUCUGUGAGGUCCCACGUGGCCGUGGAGCCGCACGGUGUCAUUUCAGGGAAGGGAUAUUUGUGUCCGUGAGCUCAUGAGCGCUGCUGUGCUCUUGGAGCCUCUCGCAGGGCAGGUGCUGCUGCCCCAUCUCAGCUCUCCGUGCUGCUGCAUUUCGGGGCUGCUCAUUCCCCUCCUUUUUUAUUUCUUUAAACAAAGCCUUGAAGUGGGGAAGCGGAUUCGCUGGGUUUUAUUACUGUAUUAACAUUCGUUUAAAUCCAUUUCAGAAACUAACUCCUUUCUCUUCCUGCUUAGAAUGUCUUAGGCAAGCUGUAACCCUUCCAAAGUGCCUUAUUUUUCCUAUAUGACAUAAAUAUAUUUAUAAGAACUGUGCUGUGUGUGUGGCCGGGGCGCACUGCAGAGCGGCGUUGGAGCGAUGCUCUCAGGGUGCCGAAGGGGGGGAAUUGGGUUCCUCACUUCAGACCAAAGGAGUUUCAGCACUGAAACUCUGCUUAAAGAAUUAAAAGAAAGAGAGAACCACCACCUGAGGAGCAGAGUGCUGCCUCCUUGGGGUCGGUUGUUCCCCUCUCAGAGCAAAUGCUGAUGGUGUAAAACCAGGCUUUCCUGCUGCCACUUUCAACCCCUUGGAUGAAGAUCCCAAUUGCAAUUUUUAUUUUAUUUUUUGUAAUGUAGACGUGAAGAAAGAAAAAAAAAAAAAAAAAAAAAACAAGAAAAAACCACAAAGCCAACAAAUCACGACGGUCCUUAUUUUUAAAACCUCAAACUCGAUAAAAAAACCUUUCUAUCCA